rnacentral:rRNA from 1 species
GGCUCUUGGCGGUGGAUCACUCGGCUCGUGAGUCGAUGAAGGACGCAGCUA